rnacentral:rRNA from 1 species
UUGAUCCUCGGCUCAGGAUGAACGCUAGCGGCAGGCUUAAUACAUGCAAGUCGAGGGGCAGCAGCUUUAUAGCAAUAUAGAGGCUGGCGAACCGGGCAAACGGGUAGCGGGAACACGUACACAACCUUCCUUUAAGAGGGGGAUAGCCCAUAGAAAUGUGGAUUAAUACCCCGUAACAUAUCGGUGUGGCAUCACACUGUUAUUAUAGUUUCGACGCUUGAAGAUGGGUGUGCGGCUGAUUAGGUAGUUGGCGGGGUAAAGGCCCACCAAGCCUUCGAUCAGUAGCUGAUGUGAGAGCAUGAUCAGCCACACGGGCACUGAGACACGGGCCCGACUCCUACGGGAGGCAGCAGUAAGGAAUAUUGGUCAAUGGACGCAAGUCUGAACCAGCCAUGCCGCGUGAAGGAUGAAGGUCCUCUGGAUUGUAAACUUCUUUUAUAGGGGGCGAAAAAGGGAAUUCUUUCUCACUUGACAGUACCCUAUGAAUAAGCACCGGCUAACUCCGUGCCAGCCGCCGCGGU